CCUACGGGAGGCAGCAGUGAGGAAUAUUGGUCAAUGGGCGAGAGCCUGAACCAGCCAAGUAGCGUGAGGGAAGACGGCCCUACGGAUUGUAAACCUCUUUUGUCAGGGAGCAAGGAGCGCCACGAGUGGUGCUGUGAGAGUACCUGAUGAAAAAGCACCGGCUAACUCCGUGCCAGCAGCCGCGGUAAUACGGAGGAUCCGAGCGUUAUCCGGGUUUAUUGGGUUUAAAGGGUGCGUAGGCGGAAGCGGCAGGUCAGCGGUAAAAUUGCGGGGCUCAACCUGGCCGCGCAGUGGAAACUGGUCUUCUAGAGUGGGCGGGAGGUAUGCGGAAUGCGUGGUGUAGCGGUGAAAUGCAUAGAUAGCACGAAGAACUCCGAGUGCGAAGGCAGCAUGCCGGCGCGCAACUGACGCUCAUGCACGAAAGUGUGGGUAUCGAACAGGAUUAGAUACCCCAGUAGUC
rnacentral:rRNA from 1 species